AUGCAGCACUUUCAAUUCAUAAGUGAUGAAAGAUUUCAAACAUUCAAGGAGGGGUUAAUGCAUCCGGGGCUUGCCUUGGUUGCAGAGCUGAGAGGGACCCUCGAAGACUUCCCAAGUCUCGGAUCCUACUUCCUCGAAUGGAGCACCGACCUCGGGGUUCGGUUCAACGAUCGCUCCUUCGGUCACGGACACUAUACGCAAAAUGAUGGAUGCUCAUGAUAUGCGUAUGACAAAUAUUUGAGAAGGACCGAGUUGAGUACUACUGGCCCUCUUGGUGCAACAUAGACUAAACAAUAAUUGAAGUUGUUUACCAUUUUAGUGUUUUUACCCAAGAGGUUGCAUCAGUAAAUUAAGAUUUCUCUUAAUCCAUAAUUGUCCUUAGUUAACUAAUUAUUAAUCCUUUUUAUCUUAAUUAAUUCUUAAUUAAUUACUAAUGACAGUAAUUAAACAUUAAUGCCAAACAAUAAUUAAAUGUCAAAGGUCAUUAAGGUUAAGGACCUCAGAUCAUCACACAAUUCCAAAAUCACUCAAACCCUAAUUUUGAGAAUUUAAACUAAUUAUUAUCUAAUUAUUUUAGAAUUAUUAUUUAACUACUAAUUAAGGGUAUAAUAAUAUUUUAUUCAAACAUUAUCCAAAUGCCACCAAAUUUUGUGUGAAGCCAGGGAAUAAUAUUCAGAGACUCCCCACAAAUUUUGGUGAUUUUUGGACAUAUUAAUAAAUUCCUAAAAAUCAUGGAAAUUCUAUUUAUUAGCUAAAGAACACAAUUUUUGCACAUGCUCAAAAUAUCAGAAAAUGAAACCUAAUAUUUUUCCUGUGUUCUACUUAUUUCAUAGAACGUGCAUAAAAAUUCCCAUGAUUUUUGAAUCAGUGCACAAUUUUUCACACAAAUUCAAACAUAAGGCACUUUUAAAUCAAAAAAGAAAAAAGAAAAACAGUUUGAAACCGGAAGGGGCCCGGCUAAAUGGCCCGC
rnacentral:lncRNA from 1 species